rnacentral:snRNA from 1 species
GUGUCUGUUUUGUCAGCACAUAUAUUAAAAUUGGAACAAUGCAAAGAAGGUUAGCAUGGCCCAUGUGCAAAGAUGCAAUGNAAAUUUGUGAAAUGUUAAAAAUUCUC